GACGAACGCUGGCGGCGUGCUUAACACAUGCAAGUCGAACGGAAAGGCCCUGCUUUUGUGGGGUGCUCGAGUGGCGAACGGGUGAGUAACACGUGAGUAACCUGCCCUUGACUUUGGGAUAACUUCAGGAAACUGGGGCUAAUACCGGAUAGGAGCUCCUGCUGCAUGGUGGGGGUUGGAAAGUUUCGGCGGUUGGGGAUGGACUCGCGGCUUAUCAGCUUGUUGGUGGGGUAGUGGCUUACCAAGGCUUUGACGGGUAGCCGGCCUGAGAGGGUGACCGGCCACAUUGGGACUAGGGAACGGCCCAGACGCCUACGGGAGGCAACAGGGGAGAAUAUUGCGCAAUAGGCGGAAGCCUGAUGCAGCAACGCCGCGUGCGGGAUGACGGCCUUCGGGUUGUAAACCGCUUUCGCCUGUGACGAGGCGUGAGUGACGGUAAUGGGUAAAGAAGCACCGGCUAACUACGUG
rnacentral:rRNA from 1 species